GAACGUGCUCCGGGGUCGGUGCAAUUCCGAGCCGGCGGUGACAGUCCGCGACCCGCGCCCACGCGCGGUUGACCUGGUGGAACUCCAGGACCGACGGUGAAAGUCCGGAUGGGAGGAAGCACGUGC
rfam:Oerskovia sp. Root918 contig_1, whole genome shotgun sequence.